CGUCGAUCAAGGCGGCGGCAGUGAAGACGAGUACAGCUAAAACUCACGUCGGCCGCUCUCCGCCGUCUCCGGCGCAAAACAGUCCGUACAUGCCACUAUCGUCUGUCGCACGCACUCACCAUCGUCAGUUUCGUCAGCCCACACGUCGUAAGCACACAAUUACAUCCUAACCACCGGGGUAGAGUGGACAACUACAUAGGAAUCCGAUCGACUAUACAAUACGUGCACGUAUGCAGUCACUAUGUAAAGGAUGACGGAUCGACCGGCCGGAGAAGUAUAUACGCGUGAGACAGAUUCGUCGUCGGGAUGAUUGACGAAACGGUCGUGACGGCGAACGGGCGCGCAGAAGAAACGGCCGGAAAUCGGCGGCGGUAGAAGAAAAAAACCCUAACCGGCGGCGUCGAGUUCGACGGGGAUCGCCGAGCAUAUACAGUUUCGCAGAGCGAGAGAGAGAGAGUGAGAGGGAGUGAACAAAUACACAUUAUCUACCGUCUCUCGUCGGGAUCUGUGCGGAAAAACUAAAGAGCCCGAAAAACGGUCGGCUGCUGAUACGGCCGAAAUGGCCAACGGCAGUGGUGGCGGCGGCGGCGGCGGGUUCGAAGCGCUGCAAAACGUCGCCCCGAACGUGUUUCCGCCCAUAUACAUACCGGCCGGACACGGUUCGAACGGCACGAACGCCGUGAACUUCAGCGAGGCCAUCGAACGGGAAUACGUGGAGGACUACGUGUUUCAGUCGGCUUUCUCGUUCGUCUAUCUGCUCAUAUUCACGCUGGGCGUGUUCGGCAACGUGCUCGUCGUGUACGUCGUGUGGGCCAACAAGCACAUGCGCACCGUCACCAACAUAUUCAUCGUCAAUCUGGCCGUGUCCGACAUCAUGCUCUGUGGGCUGGCCGUGCCGUUUACGCCGCUCUACACGUUCACCGGCCAUUGGAUGUUUGGUGAGAUAUUUUGCCACAUAGUUCCUUACGCCCAGGGCACCAGCGUGUACACUUCCACGUUGACACUGACGUCCAUCGCCAUCGAUCGAUUCUUCGUCAUCAUCUACCCGUUCCAACCAAGGAUGACCAUAUGGACCACAGCACAAAUAAUCGCCACCAUAUGGAUAUUUUCUUUGGUAGCCACACUACCGUACGGCAUUUAUAUGGCUAACAAGGAGAUGUACGGGAAAGAUUUUUGCGAGGAGACGUGGCCGCAAGAAACGUUCAGAAAGAUUUUUGGUGCCAUUACUGCGAUUCUACAGUUUGUUCUGCCAUUCCUGAUCAUAGCGUUUUGCUAUGUCCGAGUUUGGUUAAAACUUAACGACCGGGCCAGAUGCAAGCCGGGCACGUCGACGAAAAACGCAAGGCGGGAAGAAGUGGAGCGCGAAAGAAAGAGCCGGACUAACAGGAUGUUGAUAGCCAUGGUGACUAUAUUCGGCGUGUCUUGGCUUCCGCUGACCGCCAUCAAUCUGCUAAACGAUUUCUACCUGCAGACGGCCACGUGGAAACACUACUACCUGUUCUUCUUCUCUGCUCAUGCCGUGGCCAUGAGUUCCACGUGCUAUAAUCCGUUCCUAUACGCUUGGUUGAACGAGAACUUCCGAAAAGAGUUCAAACAGGUGUUGCCUUGCUGGCGCAACGGUUCCGGGUACGGUACAACCAGGUCUGACGAGGAAAAGAAGCGCCGAGAACGCGUUGAUGGUUACAGGUCCGAGCGGACGUGCAACGGCAACGACACGUGCCAGGAAACGUUGUUGCCAACGUCCAUCGUUCUGCCGUCUGGCCGAACCACCGCCACCACAGAUUGCACCGGACUCGAUCUCGUGGAUGGAUUGAUGAUGGGCGAUCAAGAGGACAAUCAGGACGCAGUUGAAGUGAUGUUGGUUGCGUACACACGCGAGGACGGUAUUUCUGGUCGUUCUAAUUUACAGCAGAACUCCAUUAAAACCCAAGUAUAAAUAUCUCAAUGUUACUGCGGAGGAUCCAGGGAGGAUGUGAGUUAACCUCGUUUGAUUCCCCGUGUUCGAAAAGGAAAAAAUAUUGGAGAAACACGGAAAAGCUCACUUCUCCGCGGGAAUUUAAUGCAUGUAUACUUAUAUCGAUUUUUCGACCCGACACGCAAACCUUCCGAAAUACAAUUUUCCCCAUUAACAGCGGCUACAUAAUAUACUUUAAAGAACAUCCAAAACAUGAAAGACACAUUUGUUUGAGAAAGGAAAAAACAGUUCUGCUAUAGUAAACAAUGAACAUAUAUCAAGACACUAAUGAAGGUUCAAUACGAUUGCAAUUUCCGCCACAAACUACUUUACGCCUAGCCCAAAAAUAUAAGACUAAUAGUUGCCUAAGAAACAUUAUAUAGAUGUAAUUAAAAUGUUAAUACUAAAUUUAAUAUUCAUUAUUCUUAUUAAUUAUUAUACUAAUUGUAAUAAGUAUAGCGUUUUAAUCAAUUAACUGUUCGUGUGUUAUGUAUAAAUGGAAAUACAUUUCUAAUAAAAAAAUAUCUAUUUCCGUCAAUAUAUAAUACUGUUGUGUAUACAUAUUAUAUACAUAUGUAUAUAUUUAAAAUAUAUUAUAUAUGAUACAUAUAAUAUUACUAUUAUUCUUCCUACAUAAUAAUGUGUUUGAUAAAUUAAAAUGUUAAUAACAUUAGAAUAGUCAUGUGCUUUUUAAAUUAUUCAUAGUUGUAGUGUUAAGAUCUAAUUAUAUUGUUCAAAUGUAUUUGUACGAAUAUAAUGUAUAAUAUUACAAUAAUAUUAAAUGCCUAUAGUGUAAUAAGAGAAAAAAAAUGAUAAACUAAAUAAUUGUAACUAUGUGUUUAAACUUAAAAAUAAUUUUAAGCAAAAAAUUUAUUGUUUUAGUAUAAUGUGAUUGAACUUUUGUUUUAUAUUUAAUAAUUUUUGUUACCUAAUAUGUUUGUGCCACGCAAUUCAUGUAAUGAGCCCACAUGUUUUGUGUCGUACAAACUAUUGUUGAUUAAUAUAAUUUAUAUUUAUCCUCCGCCUUUUUUUUUUCAAGCACGGCAAUGUAACCUUGUUUUUUAUAUAUAUAAAAUAAAAUGUUGUUUUCAAUUCACCAAA